rnacentral:rRNA from 1 species
CGGUAAAAGCUCAAAUUUGAAAUCUGGCUCUUUUAGAGUCCGAAUUGUAAUUUGUAGAAGAUGCUUCGGGUGUGGUUCCGGUCUAAGUUCCUUGGAACAGGACGUCAUAGAGGGUGAGAAUCCCGUCUUUGACACGGACUCCAGUACAUUGUGGUGCGCUCUC